ACCCCUUAAGCUCGAAGAGUGUAAUAUUGAAGGUAUUGAGGACUAGGGGUA
rnacentral:tRNA from 1 species